rnacentral:rRNA from 1 species
AACGUAGGAGGCAAGCGUUAUCCGGAUUUAUUGGGCGUAAAGCGCGUGCAGGCGGCUUGGUAAGUUGGAUGUGAAAUCUCUCGGCUUAACUGGGAGACGUCAUUCAAUACUAUCAGGCUAGAGAAUGGGAGAGGGAAGUGGAAUUCCGGGUGUAGUGGUGAAAUGCGUAGAUAUCCGGAGGAACACCAGUGGCGAAAGCGGCUUCCUGGACCACUUCUGACGCUAAGACGCGAAAGCUAGGGUAGCAAACGGGAUUAGAUACCCUUGUA